UACGGGGGGGGCAAGCGUUGUUCGGAAUUACUGGGCGUAAAGGGCGCGUAGGCGGCCAUCUAAGUCAGACGUGAAAUUCCUCGGCUCAACCGAGGAACUGCGUCUGAUACUGGAAGGCUUGAAUCCGGGAGAGGGAUGUGGAAUUCCAGGUGUAGCGGUGAAAUGCGUAGAUAUCUGGAGGAACACCGGUGGCGAAGGCGGCAUCCUGGACCGGUAUUGACGCUGAGGCGCGAAAGCUAGGGGAGCAAACAGG
rnacentral:rRNA from 1 species